GCUGCUCUCCACGCUCAUGUCGGCCUCCAACGCCGACCGCGCCGCCGCCGAGGCCGCCUUCCACCGCCUCCGCGGCUCCCACCCGGAGCCCCUCGCGCUGCGCCUCGCCUCCUCGCUCGCGGCCCCGGCCACCCCCGCCGAGCUCCGCGCCAUGGCCGCCGUCCUCCUCCGCAAGCUCCUCUCCCCGACGGCCUCCUCCGACUCCUCCGCCGCCGCGCCGCCCCCGCUCUGGCCCCUCCUCUCCCCCGACGGCCAGGCAGCGCUCAAGGCCCACCUCCUGGCCGCGCUCCAGUCCGACCCCCCCAAGCCCAUCGCCAAGAAGGUCUGCGACGCCAUAUCCGAGCUCGCCACGCUCCUCCUCCCGGAGAACACCUGGGCCGAGCUGCUGCCGUUCCUCUUCCGCGCGGCCUCCACCCCCGAGGCGCCCAACCCGCAGGAGUCGGCGCUGCUCAUCUUCGCGCGCCUCGCGGAUUACAUCGCCGAAUCUCUUCUCGACCAUUUGAUGACCAUCCACAACCUUCUAGCAUCUGCCCUGGCGCACCCGACCUCGCCUGAUGUUCGCAUCGCCGCGCUGAGCGCCGCCGUUAAUCUCGUUCAGUGCCUGCCCACUAACGCGGAUAGAGAUAAGAUGCAGGACUUGCUGCCUGCGAUGAUGAGGGCGCUCACGGAUUGCCUGAAUUCGUCCCAGGAGGCAUCUGCACAGGAGGCACUGGAGCUGCUUGUGGAGCUGGCUGGUGCAGAGCCAAGGUUCCUGCGGCGACAGAUUGCCGAUGUGGCAGGAGCAAUGCUGCAAAUAGCUGAAGCUGCACAGUUGGAGGAUGGAACUAGGCACCUGGCUGUCGAGUUUGUGAUUACUCUUGCUGAGGCCAGGGAGCGUGCACCAGGAAUGAUGCGCCGGCUCCCACAGUUUGUUGGCAGGCUCUUCCAAGUACUUAUGCAGAUGUUGCUUGAUGUAGAGGAUGACCCUGCCUGGCACACUGCUGAAACCGAGGACGAAGAUGCAGGUGAAGGGAACAACUAUGGAGUGGCGCAGGAGUGCCUUGACCGUCUUGCCAUUGCCAUUGGUGGGAAUGCAGUCGUGCCGAUUGCAUCUGAGCUGCUCCCACAAUAUCUUUCUGCUCCAGAGUGGCAGAAGCACCAUGCUGCGCUCAUCACUCUUGCACAGAUUGCAGAGGGAUGUGCAAAGGUUAUGCUUAAAAACUUGGAGCAGGUGGUUUCGAUGAUACUGAACGGAUUCCAACACCCUCAUCCUCGAGUGCGGUGGGCUGCAAUCAAUGCCAUUGGUCAGCUGUCUACAGAUUUGGGCCCAGACUUGCAGGUUCAGUACCACCAGAAGGUGCUGCCUGCAUUGGCUAACGCCAUGGAUGAUUUUCAGAAUCCACGGGUGCAGGCACAUGCUGCGUCUGCAAUCUUGAAUUUCAGCGAGAAUUGCACGCCCGAAAUUCUGACACCGUACCUGGAUGGAAUUGUUAGCAAAUUACUUGUUCUUCUCCAGAAUGGUAAGCAAAUGGUGCAAGAGGGAGCAUUGACAGCUUUAGCAUCAGUAGCUGAUUCAUCGCAGGACCACUUCAAGAAAUAUUAUGAUGCUGUUAUGCCGUACCUGAAAGCUAUUUUGAUGAAUGCAACUGACAAGUCUAAUAGGAUGCUCCGUGCCAAGUCCAUGGAGUGUAUAAGUCUUGUUGGAAUGGCUGUAGGCAAGGAUAAAUUUAGGGAUGAUGCCAAGCAGGUCAUGGAAGUGCUUAUGGCUUUGCAAGGAACUCCAAUGGAAACAGAUGAUCCGAUAACCAGCUACAUGUUGCAGGCUUGGGCCAGGCUAUGCAAAUGUCUUGGACAGGAUUUUCUUCCUUACAUGCAUGUUGUUAUGCCACCACUGCUUCAGUCUGCUCAGCUGAAGCCUGAUGUCACAAUUACUUCAGCCGAAUCAGAUGAUGAAAUAGAAUCAGAUGACGACAGCAUUGAAACAAUCACACUUGGUGACAAAAGAAUUGGAAUUCGAACUAGUGUGCUGGAAGAGAAAGCAACAGCUUGCAACAUGCUGUGUUGCUAUGCUGAUGAGCUCAAGGAGGGUUUCUUCCCAUGGAUUGAUCAGGUUGCUCCUACAUUGGUCCCUCUGCUUAAGUUUUACUUCCAUGAAGAAGUGAGAAGAGCUGCUGUUGCAGCUAUGCCUGAACUGUUACGUUCGGCAAAAUUGGCUGUUGAGAAGGGGCAGGCUCCAGGACGCGACGAGUCUUACGUUAAACAAUUGUCUGAUUUCAUAAUUCCAGCUCUGGUUGAAGCGCUGCACAAGGAGCCGGAAACCGAAAUGUGCUCAUCCAUGCUGGAUUCCUUAAAUGAGUGUAUGCAGCUUUCUGGAUGUCUUCUUGAUGAGAAUCAAGUAAGAGCUAUUUCGGAUGAGAUUAAGAAUGUUAUUAUAGCCAGUGCAACCAGGAAAAGAGACAGAUCAGAGAGAACAAAAGCAGAAGAUUUUGAUGCUGAUGAAGGAGAACUACUCAAAGAAGAGAAUGAGCAGGAGGAGGAAGUGUUCGAUCAGGUCGGCGAGUGCCUGGGAACUUUGAUUAAAACCUUUAAAGCUUCUUUCUUGCCGUUCUUUGAUGAGCUAUCUGUGUACGUUACACCAAUGUUGGGGAAGGACAAGACAGCUGAGGAGAGAAGGAUAGCUAUCUGCAUUUUUGAUGACAUUGCAGAGCAAUGUCGUGAGUCGGCUCUGAAGUAUUAUGAUACCUAUGUUCCUUUCUUGUUGGAGGCAUCCAACGAUGAUAACUCAGAUGUUCGGCAGGCUGCUGUUUAUGGCCUGGGCGUAUGUGCUGAGUUUGGUGGUCUUACUUUCCGUCCUUUAGUUGGAGAGGCCCUGUCAAAGCUGAACAAUGUUAUCAGACAUCCAGAAGCACAACAUGCAGAUAAUAUUAUGGCAUAUGAUAAUGCUGUUUCAGCACUUGGAAAAAUAUGUCAAUUUCAUCGCGAUGGGAUUGAUGCGGCUCAGGUCAUUCCAGCAUGGCUUGGUUGCUUGCCUAUAAAAGAUGACAAGAUUGAAGCAAAAGUUGUACAUGAUCAGCUUUGUUCGAUGGUGGAGAGAUCGGACGCACAGGUUCUUGGACCUCAUAGUCAGUAUCUUCCUAAAAUAGUUUCUAUUUUUGCCGAGGUUCUGUGCAAUGGAAAGGAGCUUGCAACAGAUGAAACAACAACCCGGAUGAUCAGUGUUCUGAAGACAUUGCCACCUGAUUUUCUUGCCUCCACAUUUUCCACCUUGCAACCACAGCAGCAGCUUAUGCUACAGUCCAUCCUAUCCACAUAG
rnacentral:rRNA from 1 species